ensembl:lncRNA
CUCUCAGGCACGCACAGUGCCCCUAUGAUCUCCCUCAGUUGUGAAACACAAAUAGUUGAGUCACUGUGGGAUAGUAACUGGACUAGAAGGUAUUUCUUGAGGGACUUCCUCCCACAGAAACCUGAAAUAGUUUUUACACCGGUUAAUACAACAGCAGGAGCUCAGUGUGUGGUCCGUGCUGGCUUUACAGUGUGGGGAAAUUUCCAUCGUCCUGCGUAGACUUUAGAACAAUAUUGGUUUAAAAGAGCGUGUAGCGUAUAGCCGGGUGUUCAACAUAGCCGGGGAGGCCUCCAGCCCACCCAUCGCCGACACACACGGGCCCAGUGCAGGCCUUCAUUUUAGCAAUGGGGUCCAAAGUCUGAAGGAUCAGCAAGUACAGUCAGGCACGUACAACCUUAUUAUCAACCUCAUUUCAUAACACGUAGACCACGUUAUUAUGGAGCGCCGGAGCGGGGCUUCCCAAACUGGGCGCCGGACCCCCCAAGUGUUCCCAGGAUUAAUCACAGAGUCACGGUGCCACGACAUGCCCGACGCUGCAGGAGGAUUACGUGAAAACUACACGUCUAUAAUGGCGAUUCUGUGCAACCUGCAGGCCAGUUUGAAUCAGAGAAAGACAAGUGCACAGUGGGCACAAAGACACCUUGCAGUCCGGAUAAUGACCAUUGCAGGCCUCCAGCAGCAGCAGCAGCAGCAGCAGAGGACAAACCUCCACUCCCUAUCCUUCGAAUUGCCUUUUUAAACAGCUACAUCUGGAUAUUAUCUGGACGGUAACAGCUGUAAUAAACAUUGACAAACUCAUCAGAAACUCCCCAAUUAACUGUGAUCGUCCACGAGAGCGCCUUUUGGUCACUGAAAAUAUUUGUUUUGUUCCCGUCCUCUCG